rnacentral:rRNA from 1 species
CGGACGGGUGAGGAACACGUGAGUGAUCGGGCUGUGAGUGGGGGAUAUCGGGCCGAAAGGCGCGGCAAUCCCGCAUACGUUCCGGGGAACCGGAAGAAAGCUUGGCAACAGGCGCUCACAGGGGAGCUCGCGGCCCAUUAGGUAGUUGGGGGGGUAAGGGCCUCUCAAGGCGACGAUGGGUAGCCGGCCUGAGAGGGUGAAUGGCCACACUGGGACUGAGACACGGUCAAGACUCUUACGGGAGGCAGCAGUAGGGAAUCUUCCACAAUGGGCGCAAGCCUGAUGGAGCAACGCCGCGUGAGUGAAGACGGCCUUCGGGUUGUAAAGCUCUGUCUGUCGGGACGAAGAUCGGCCCGGAAGGGCCGGGGAGCCGGUACCGACGGAGGAAGCCCCUGCCAACUACGUGCCAGCAGCCGCGGUAAUACGUAGGGGGUAAGCGUUGUCCGGAAUUACUGGGCGUAAAGGCGCUGUAGGCGGUGCGAUACGUAGCGGUUUUAAGCUUCCGGCUCACCCCGAGGAGGGCGGUUAAAUGGUCGCGCUAGAGGGCACGAGACGUGCGUGGAAUUCCUGGUGGAGCUUGAAAUGCGUCCAGAUCACCAAGAACACCCCUGGCGAACGUCGCUUACUGGCCUGACCCUGACGCUAACGCGCCCUAGUCUGUCGAGCCAAUGUCAUUACACAUCCCCGUAGUCCACCCCCGUGCACCAUCUUCACUACGGGUGUUCCCGCCUGCUCCCNACGCUGUCCGACCC